rnacentral:lncRNA from 1 species
GGGGGCUGGAAAUUGGCAGGGUGAGAACUGGGGAAACUAGUUUGGGACGCAGCCCUCCUUGUCCCCCUUCUUCAUUCACCCCCUUGUUGAGGCCCUUGGCUUUUGCAUAAUACACCCUUUAAAAAAAUGUAUUUAAAGAGGCUGGUUCCUAUCCAUCCGACUCGAGGCAUCUCAGUGCAAGAGCAAAGCUAAGUCCUGCACACGCACCCCCCCUCCUCGUCCUCCUUCUCCCCCCAGGUUUUCCCGAAUGUAUCUACUCCGGUUACAACUAGACGCGGCCCCUCCCCCACCUGCCUCCCCCCUUCCUUCCCUCGAUCGUGGAGGGAGCGUUCUCUGUGCCUUCCCAAGUCCCCGUGGGGUCCUUC